rnacentral:rRNA from 1 species
UACGUAGGGUGCGAGCGUUAAUCGGAAUUACUGGGCGUAAAGCGUGCGCAGGCGGUCUGUUAAGACCGAUGUGAAAUCCCCGGGCUCAACCUGGGAACUGCAUUUGUGACUGUAGAGCUGGAGUACGGCAGAGGGGGAUGGGAAUUCCGCGUGUAGCAGUGAAAUGCGUAGAUAUGCGGAGGAACACCGAUGGCGAAGGCAAUCCCCUGGGCCUGUACUGACGCUCAUGCACGAAAGCGUGGGGAGCAAACAGG